UUUAAUUAGAAAAACUUCCAUAUACCUCUUUCGGGGUAGAUAAAAGAGGUGUGACACUUACUACGAGAUGGUGGCUCGAAAGAGGGGGAGCGCUGAAGCUUCAAAGGUAGCUGAGCCAGUGACAGUCGAGAUGGCUCAUCUUCGGACCGAAGAAAACUCGGAAGAUGAUCUUAGCAAAGUCUCUGAGUCAUCAGAGGCUGAAGAUUUCUCCCACUGUGAUGAACAGCCGGCAAAUAUGCAUGUCCGUCGUGACGAACAAUUGG
rnacentral:lncRNA from 1 species